rnacentral:rRNA from 1 species
UGAACGCUGGCGGUAGGCCUACCACAUGCACGUCGACCGGCAGCACAGUAAGAGCUUGCUCUUACGGGUGGCGAGUGGCGGACGGGUGAGGAAUACAUCGGAAUCUACUUUUUCGUGGGGGAUAACGUAGGGAAACUUACGCUAAUACCGCAUACGACCUACGGGUGAAAGCAGGGGAUCUUCGGACCUUGCGCGAUUGAAUGAGCCGAUGUCGGAUUAGCUAGUUGGCGGGGUAAAGGCCCACCAAGGCGACGAUCAGGAGCUGGUCUGAGAGGGUGAACCGCACAACUGGAACGUAGACACGGGACAGAGGCCUACGGGAGGCAGCAGAAGGGAAUCUUCCGCAAGGGGCGAAAGCCGGAUGGAGCAACGCCGCGUGAGUGAUGAAGGUCUUCGGAUCGUAAAACGCUGUGAUUAGGGAAGAACAGAUGUGUAAGUAACUGUGCACAUCUUGAAGGUACCUAAUCAGAAAGCCACGGCGAACGACGUG